GGUAUUACAGCCUUUACUCUGCCAUAUAUACACCUACUCUAGUCCUAGUUCCGCUCCAAUGUCACCCACACAUAUAUAACUUUAACCACUACAAUGCCACUAACUAUUAAACACUCCUCCAACACUAGUCUGCCAUACAUGCCCACUCAUCGGCCUUAAUUUAGCCACACACACAACUAGGCUUUAACCCAGCCACACACACACUCUCACCAGCCUUAAUCAGCCA
rnacentral:lncRNA from 1 species